rnacentral:rRNA from 1 species
UACGGGGGGGGCAAGCGUUGUUCGGAAUUACUGGGCGUAAAGGGCUCGUAGGCGGCCAAUUAAGUCAGACGUGAAAUCCCUCGGCUUAACCGGGGAACUGCAUCUGAUACUGGAUGGCUUGAGAUUGGGAGAGGGAUGCGGAAUUCCAGGUGUAGCGGUGAAAUGCGUAGAUAUCUGGAGGAACACCGGUGGCGAAGGCGGCAUCCUGGACCAACACUGACGCUGAGGAGCGAAAGCCAGGGGAGCAAACGGG